CGGCGGACGGGUGAGUAAUGCCUAGGAAUCUGCCUGGUAGUGGGGGAUAACGUCCGGAAACGGGCGCUAAUACCGCAUACGUCCUGAGGGAGAAAGUGGGGGAUCUUCGGACCUCACGCUAUCAGAUGAGCCUAGGUCGGAUUAGCUAGUUGGUGGGGUAAAGGCCUACCAAGGCGACGAUCCGUAACUGGUCUGAGAGGACGAUCAGUCACACUGGAACUGAGACACGGUCCAG
rnacentral:rRNA from 1 species